AUGGAGGGUGCGUGCCUGUGCUUCCUCAAAUCCGCAUGCCAGUGCCUGGUAAGCCAGGCGGCGUCAACUGCCACCAAUGAGAUGGCCGUGCAAGCUGGGGUGCAAGCGGACGCCAUGAUCCUGGCGGAAGAGCUCGGGGAGAUGCACAAGUUCCUCGCAGAUGUGGAGGAGUAUGACUAUGAGGAGGCCGGUGGAGAGAUGGAACCGAGCGGUGAUGCGGAGGAGGAACGGCGCUGGGUGGACAAAAUCCGGGACAUGGCAUGCGACAUCGAAGACUGCCUCCUGCAGCUCGCCCCUCACCGGGAGAGUCCGUCCUUGUGGAGGGUACGGUGGGCCUCUCUAGCGCCGCGGCACAGUAUCGCCGCCGAGCUCAAGGACUUGGUGUCCCAAGUGAAGCGCGUGAGCGAGAUAAGGGAGCGCUAUCAACGCGCCCGCGACAGGGCGGUGAGGAAGCCGGCGGUCAAGCCGGUGGAGGAGGGGGCGUGGCCAGUUGAAUGGAAGGUCGAUCUCGGCCAUCUGCUUGCGCGGCCCGAUGAAUCACUAUUGGUGAUAUCUGUGUGGCAGAUGGCAGCCGGCGGGAAGGCCACUUCUCUCAUCGACCUAGUCUAUGAUGACGCCAAGAUGUUCCAGUGCCGCGCAUGGGUCACGGCGACUCACCCCAUGAGCCUCACCGAGUUUCUCCGAGGCUUGGCGAGGCAGCUCCAGGCAAAUGAAAAUGAUUGCCCGCCGCCGGUGUCGCAGAGCACACUCAGGUUCCUAGGGGAUACUGAGAGGAUGGGGACAGAGGAGCUGAUGACGGUGGUAGCACACCACCUUAGCGCGAAGCGGUACCUGGUCGUCGUCGAAGACGUAUGCACAAGGCCCACGUGGGACUGGAUCAAAGUCUUCUUCCCGGAUCACAGGAAUGGCAGCCGGAUUAUAGCUACAUCUCAGAGAGCUGAUGUGGCAAGGCAUUGCGCUCGGCGACCAAGAAGAUCGUUCGCUCUUGAAGGAGUUAAACAAGAUGAUGCACGGCUUUACGUCUCUUCCGACAAGGCUGCCACUAGUGAAUCGAAUGUUGUUAUAAAAAUAGAUCCAUACUCGCAGUUUGUUGGUAGGAGGGAGGAAGUUGCUGAUUUAACCAAACGGAUAUUAGAGGACGGUCCUGACUGCUGCCCAAUCUCAGUGUACGGGCCUAGUGGUAUUGGAAAGAGCCUCCUCAUGAGGAAAGUUGUCUACGAUGGCCAAGGGAUAUCUAGGAGGUUCGAAAGGCUAGCGUGGAUCACGUUGGUGCAUCCCUUCAACCAGGAGGAGUUCCAGCAAAGCAUAAUUUCACAAUUCCAGGCAUGCUCCCCGGGAUGGAGGAAAGAAUCUGGGAGUCAUAUCGAGGACAUGGCUGGUGACAAGUUGGCGACUAAGAUGUUUCAGCUCAUGAAAGUAGGGAGAUCUCUGGUAAUCCUCGAUGGGCUGUCAGAAGAAGAAGAAUGGGAUCAGGUGAAGUCGUGCUUAUGGAGUUCUGAUGGAAUUAAAGAUAACUGCACUAUCGUGGUUACUACUACAAAUCCUGCAGUUGCUCAUCAUUGUUCAGGGAAUAGGAACUCUCCAUACAAGUUGAACCCUCUUGACAGCGCUGCAGUUCGUCAGUUGUUCUACCAUAAGGUAUUCAAGCGUGAUGGGCUAAUUGAGUUGCAUGAACAAAUGGAUUAUCUUGCUAAUCGCAUCAUAGAAAAAUGCGUUGGGGACCUUCGUGCAAUCAUUAUCAUAAGUGGACUUCUAGGCACCAAAGCACGAACAUUAGCAGCAUGGGAGAGGGUGCGGAAACGUUAUGACUUGGAGUUAGAAAACAACCCUGGCCUUGGGGUGGCUAAUGCAGCAGGAAAAUUGAGCUAUGAUGAUUUACCAUCCCAUAUGAAAUAUUUGCUACAAUAUCUUAGCAUUUUCCCCAGAGGCUACAACCUAAUGCGCAGAAGAUUGGCAACUGCAUGGGUAGCAGAAAUCUACAACAUGCAUGAAAGAGGAAAUAAUGCUGAGGAACUUGAGAAGAUCUUUGAUGGCCUGAUUACCAGGGGUAUGAUUCAUCCAUUGAAACGAGUAGAGAUAACUGGCGGAAGAGUAAAUGGCUGCCAUGUUGGUGAUGUGUUUCAACAACUCGGUGAUUUCAAAGCAAAAACGGGGGAUUGGUUCCACAUCCUUGAUGAUCACAGUGUGAAUAGGAACCCUGCAAUCUCCCAACCCAGACACCUAGUUAUUAAAAGUGGGUGGAUAAGACAUGAGGAUGAGUUCAAGAAAAUAGACCACUCUUGUGCUCGGUCACUAACAGUUUUUGGGGAGUGGAGUUCUUUUUUCAUUUCACCAAGCAUGAGGUUGCUAAGAGUGCUUGAUUUGGAAGACACUACAGGUCUAGUGGAGCAUGAUGACCUUGAGAAAAUUGGGGAAUUCCAGCAUCUCAAGUAUCUAGGUCUCAGGAACACAGGCAUUACCCGUCUACCGAACUCCUUGGGCAAGUUGCAAUGCCUUGAGGUAUUAGAUAUCCGUGGCACUUACAUCGCCAAGCUGCCAUCUACUGUCAUCCAUCUCGCUAGGCUGUGCCAUCUCCGUGGUGGUACAAUGGCUGCAUCAAUGGAAGACAAUGCUCAGCGAGAUUUUACUGGUGGAGUGACCAGAUGUUGUCCUCAGUCUCUCCAGAAUGCCACUUUAUCUGCUUUCUGCAAAUGUUUGCUCCCUACGUUUCAGAGGAAGAAACCACAUGGUGUGCAUGCCCCGAAGAACAUAGGGAAACUGAAGUUCAUUAUUACACUAGGGACCAUUGAUGUUGCAGGCAGUCGAAGUGUUAUGAAGGAGAUACAGAAGCUGACACAGUUACAGAGAUUAGGUUUCACCGGCGUUACAUAUCGCAACAGCAAGCAUCUGUGCUCUAUUCUUGAGCGUCUCCAGAAUCUGCGGUCAUUGAUGGUUCACUCUGGAGAUUCACUCGGCGGAUUAGAUAUUGUUUCCUCACCCCCACGCCAUCUUGAAACACUGAAACUAUAUGGCACUCUUGGUACGCUCCCAAGGUGGAUCAAGACCCUUCAUAAUCUCCAAAAGCUAUGCCUGCGCACAACACUCCUGGGCCAUGAUGCUGUACAGAUCAUCGCUAAGCUACCCAAGUUGAUCAUGCUACACCUCUUGGCUAAAUCAAUUGUGGUGGAGGAGAUGGAAUUUCAAAGCGAUGCGUUUCCAAAACUUGAGCUGCUCCAACUUGACCGGUUAGAAAAUCUCGUGUCGGUAUCAUUUCCAGGAGGAGCACUGCCAAACCUAGAGGUACUGCAAGUCGAUAACUGCAACCUUUUAAGAGGGCCUGUCCUGCGUCAAUUUCACAAGCUCCCGAAAAUUAAAAAGAUCUUGCUGGAUGGCUGCAUGGUGUUCAAGAAACAAGAGGAGAGAAAACUUAGGAAUGCUUUUAUGUUAGUUCAAACUGUCCUGCGAUGGUAUGGGAAGGCAAGAAAAGGCACUUCACAGUAG
rnacentral:rRNA from 1 species